rnacentral:rRNA from 1 species
UACGUAGGUGGCAAGCGUUGUCCGGGAUUUACUGGGCGUAAGGAGCGCGCAGGCGGUCGAUCAAGUCGCGUGUGAAAGCCCCCGGCUCAACUGGGGAGGGUCACGCGAUACUGACCGACUCGAAGGCAGGAGAGGGUAGUGGAAUUCCCGGGUGUAGUGGUGAAAUGCGUAGAUAUCGGGAGGAACACCAGUGGCGAAGGGCGACUACCUGGCCUGGUUCUUGACGCCUGAGGCGCGAAAGCUAGGGGAGCAAAGCGGGGAUUAAGAUACCCGUA